rnacentral:tRNA from 1 species
GUUUAAAUAGCUUAUAUUUUAGAGUAUGACAUUGAAGCUGUUAUGGAGAUUAUUAUUAUCUUUAAACA